rnacentral:rRNA from 1 species
UACAGAGGGUGCGAGCGUUAAUCGGGAUUACUGGGCGUAAAGGGCGCGUAGGCGGUAGAUUAAGUUAGAUGUGAAAUCCCUGGGCUUAACCUAGGAACUGCAUCUAAUACUGGUCUGCUAGAGUGCAGUAGAGGGUAGUGGAAUUUCCGGUGUAGCGGUGAAAUGCGUAGAUAUCGGAAGGAACACCAGUGGCGAAGGCGGCUACCUGGACUGACACUGACGCUGAGGCGCGAGAGCGUGGGGGAGCAAACAGGAUUAGAUACCCUGGUAGUCCACGCUGUAAACGAUGAGAACUAGAUGUUGGUAGGCUUGACCUAUUAGUAUCGAAGCUAACGCGAUAAGUUCUCCGCCUGGGGAGUACGGCCGCAAGGCUAAAACUCA